GGGCGAAUGGUUUAGUGGUAUAAUACUCCCUUAGCAUGUUCUCUCCACGAGAUCACCUUCUGGGAGUGGUCCAGGGUUCGAUUCCCUGUUCGUCCA